rnacentral:rRNA from 1 species
AGAGUUUGAUCCUGGCUCAGGACGAACGCUGGCGGCAGGCUUAACACAUGCAAGUCGAACGUGAAGCCCGAGCUUGCUCGGGUGGAAAGUGGCGAACGGGUGAGUAACACGUGAGAAACCUGCCCCGGAGACUGGGACAACCACCGGAAACGAUGGCUAAUACCAGAUAUCCUCGGAUGGCCGCAUGGCCGACCGAGGAAAGCUCCGGCGCUCCGGGAGGGUCUCGCGGCCUAUCAGCUGGUUGGUGAGGUAACGGCUCACCAAGGCAUAGACGGGUAGCUGGUCUGAGAGGACGAUCAGCCACACUGGGACUGAGACACGGCCCAGACUCCUACGGGAGGCAGCAGUGGGGAAUAUUGCGCAAUGGGCGAAAGCCUGACGCAGCAACGCCGCGUGAGGGAAGAAGGCUUUCGGGUCGUAAACCUCUUUCAGUGAUGACGAAAAUGACGGUAGUCACAGAAGAAGCUCCGGCCAACUACGUGCCAGCAGCCGCGGUAACACGUAGGGAGCGAGCGUUGUCCGGAUUUAUUGGGCGUAAAGGGCUCGUAGGCGGUUCUGUAAGUCGGAUGUGAAAACUCAGGGCUCAACCCGGAGAUGCCAUCCGAUACUGCGGUGACUGGAGUCCGGUAGGGGAGCAUGGAAUUCCUGGUGUAGCGGUGGAAUGCGCAGAUAUCAGGAGGAACACCAGUGGCGAAGGCGGUGCUCUGGGCCGGUACUGACGCUGAGGAGCGAAAGCGUGGGGAGCAAACAGGAUUAGAUACCCUGGUAGUCCACGCCGUAAACGUUGGGCACUAGGUGUGGGAUCUGCUAACGGAUUCCGCGCCGUAGCUAACGCAUUAAGUGCCCCGCCUGGGGAGUACGGCCGCAAGGCUAAAACUCAAAGGAAUUGACGGGGGCCCGCACAAGCGGCGGAGCAUGUUGCUUAAUUCGAGGCAACGCGAAGAACCUUACCUGGGUUUGACAUGUACCGAAAAGCCAUAGAGAUAUGGUGUCCUUCGGGGCGGUACACAGGUGGUGCAUGGCUGUCGUCACCCCCGCGUCGUGAGAUGUUGGGUUAAGUCCCGCAACGAGCGCAACCCUCGUCCUAUGUUGCCAGCACGUAAUGGUGGGGACUCGUAGGAGACUGCCGGGGUCAACUCGGAGGAAGGUGGGGACGAUGUCAAGUCAUCAUGCCCCUUAUAUCCAGGGCUACAAACAUGCUACAAUGGCCGGCACAAAGGGCUGCUACACCGUAAGGUCAAGCGAAUCCCACAAAACCGGUCUCAGUUCGGAUUGGAGUCUGCAACUCGACUCCAUGAAGCUGGAGUCGCUAGUAAUCCCGGAUCAGCAACGCCGGGGUGAAUACGUUCCCGGGCCUUGUACACACCGCCCGUCACACCACGAAAGUCGGCAACACCCGAAGUCAGUGGCCUAACCCGUCAGGGAAGGAGCUGCCGAAGGUGGGGUUGGCAAUUGGGGUGAAGUCGUAACAAGGUAGCCGU